rnacentral:rRNA from 1 species
GAUGAACGCUGGCGGCGUGCCUAAUACAUGCAAGUCGAACGGGGAGUAGCAAUACUCUUAGUGGCGAACGGGUGAGUAACGCGUUGGUACCUGCCCCGAAGCGGGGGAUAACGGACCGAAAGGUCCGCUAAUACCCCAUGUGCUCGGUAACGAGUAAAGGUGAAAACCACUUUGGGAGGGGCCUGCGUCCCAUCAGCUAGUUGGUAAGGUAACGGCUUACCAAGGCGAUGACGGGUAGGGGACCUGAGAGGGUGGCCCCCCACAAUGGAACUGAAACACGGUCCAUACACCUACGGGUGGCAGCAGUAGGGAAUAUUGGUAAUGGGCGCAAGCCUGACGGAGCAACGCCGCGUGAGUGAUGAAGGUCUUCGGAUCGUAAAACUCUGUUAUUAGGGAAGAACAAAUGUGUAAGUAACUAUGCACGUCUUGACGGUACCUAAUCAGAAAGCCACGGCUAACUACGUG